UGUCCAGGGGCGGGAAUCGAACCCACAACCUUCUGCUUACCGGGCAGGUGCCAUGUCCACUAGGCUGAUUUGUAUCUGAAU